AUUGAACGCUGGCGGCAUGCCUUACACAUGCAAGUCGAACGGUAACAGGUCUUCGGACGCUGACGAGUGUCGAACGGGUGAGUAAUGCAUCGGAACGUGCCCCGUCGUUGUGGAUAACUGCUCGAAAGAGCAGCUAAUACCGCAUACGACCUGAUGGCUAAAGCGGGGGACCGUAAGGCCUCGCGCGAUUUUAGCUGUCGAUGUCAGAUUAGCUAGUUGGUGGGGUAAUGGCCUACCAAGGCAACGAUCUGUAGUUGGUCUGAGAGGACGAGCAGCCACACUGGGACUGAGACACGGCCCAGACUCCUACGGGAGGCAGCAGUGGGGAAUUUUGGACAAUGGGCGCAAGCCUGAUGCAGCAAUGCCGCGUGAAGGAAGAAGGCCUUCGGGUUGUAAAAUGCUGUUGUCAGGGAAGAAAUAUUCUGGGCUAAAACACCGGGAGGAUGACGGUACCUGAAGAAUAAGCACCGGCUAACUACGUG
rnacentral:rRNA from 1 species